CAGUCGCCGCGGGAACACCAGCAGCCCAAGUGGUGGUCGCGUUUAUUGGGCCUAAAGCGCUCGUAGCCUGGCCGGUAAGUUCCCCGUGAAACCAGGUCGCCCAACGAUUCGGCUUGCGGGGAAUACUGUCGGUCUUGGGGCCGGGAGACGCCGAGGGUACUCCGGGGGUAGCGGUGAAAUGCUGUAAUCCUCGGGGGACUACCAGUGGCGGAGGCGCUCGGCGAUAACGGGCCUGACGGUGAGGGGCGAAAGCUGGGGGCGCGAACGGGAUUAGAUACCCCGGUAGUCCCUGUCUCUUAUA
rnacentral:rRNA from 1 species